rnacentral:tRNA from 2 species
GGGCUCGUGGCGCAGCGGUAGCGCGCGUGCUUUGCAAGCACGAGGCCGUGGGUUCGCGCCCCUAAAAUUUUA